rnacentral:misc_RNA from 1 species
UAGUGAAUGUCAAAUGAAUUUGGCAAGUUGUGAGGCAGAGUUAAGGAAUUUACAACAUAGAAAGGAAGAAUUGCAGAAGGAAGUGGACAGAUUGAAUGAGAUUGCUGAGAAAGCUCAGAUGAAUGCUUUGAAAGUGGAAGAGGAUGUUGCAAAUGUAAUGCUUUUGGCUGAGCAAGCUGUUGCUUUUGAACUUGAGGCUGCUCAACGGGUGAAUGAUGCAGAGAUUGCAUUACAGAGGGCAGAGAAGUUUCUCUCUAGUUCUUUCGUUGAUACCCUGGAAACAACCCAAGGGCAUGUAUCUGGUGAUGAGGCUGUUGUUGAGGAGGAGAAGGUUGAAAGAAGGGUUUCUGAUGAUGAAAAAGAAAGCGAUGUGCCCAUCGAUGGUGAUGCUUUAGUUGGUGAGCCAACAGUAGAUAGACUAUCUGAUAAAGCCAGCAACGUUAAAGAGUUAUAUCAAUCUGAUGAUUCUAGUGAACAAGAGAAUGGAAAACUCCAUUUAGAAUUGCCUAGGGAAACUGAAAUAGAAGCAGAAAAGUCAAAGAGUGGAGUUCAAACAAAAAAGCCGGAAAUGCAGAAGGAUUUAACCAGAGAGAUUUCACCUUCACCUCUUAACACUCCAAAGGCAUUUUUGAAGAAAUCUUCACGGUUCUUUUCUGCAUCUUUCUUCUCUUUCAUUGUAGAUGGGACUGAGUUCACACCAGCAUCAGUUUUCCAAGGUCUCAUCGAGUCAGCAAGGAAUCAAUUGCCUAAGCUGGUUCUUGGAUUAUUAUUGUUUGGUGCAGGGGUUGCGUUUUACUCAAAUCGUGUAGAAAGGAGCACACAGAUGCUUCAACAAACGGACAUUGUCACCACUAGUAUUGAAGAAGUUUCCUCAAAUGCCAAGCCUCUAAUUCGACACAUACAGAAAUUUCCAAAGAGAAUAAAAAAGCUACUUGCAAUGCUUCCUCAUCAA